rnacentral:lncRNA from 1 species
CUGGGCACUGCUUCUCCUGGACUGACCGACAUUACGUGAGAAGCCUGCUCUGACCACCUCAGCUCCCAGGGCUUGCCUGUGUGGUGCCAGAGAUAGCCCAGGAAGAUGCCGCGACCUGAUGCCAACAGGACCAGAGACCUGGGGAAGCCUGGUCGCCCAGCCUCGGCUCGCAGCUACACAAGGACAUCAGGCGCUGUCUCGCCCAGCACUGUCCUACCCCAACAUAAGGAUGCAGCCGUGUGUGCACCGGGGACAAAGAUGUGAGAAGAAAUAUGGAAAGAGGAGAAAGAAACAGCAAGAGACUAAGGAGCUCGUGACGAUGACAGCAAUCAGAAUCCGGGAAUAGGUGAUUUUCAGCACCAGAAGCCUGGCUGGGCAGCGGCUACACUGCAUCCAACUUCUCAAACGUCACACAGGCUCUGUCAGAGGAAACUAUACCCUAAUAAUAACAUGAACCCUAAUUUAGGCUAACCCUAACCCUAAACUUAACCCUUGUCUAACACUGACCCUAAUUUAACCCCACCCUAACUAACCCUAAUGCUAACCCUAACGUUAACCCACCCAAACUAACCCUAACCCUAACCUUAACCUUAACCCUUGUCUAACACUAACCUUAACUUUAACUCAACUUUAACUAACCCUAACCUUAACCCAAACCCUGUCUGGGGAGCUGAGCCUACACUACCCCUAACUCUCCUCAGACAUCACACAGGCUCUGUCAGAGGCAACCACCAACCCUACCCUAACCCUAACCCUAAUCCAUUGGGAAAUCUGUCUCACCGUACACAUCAUGCUCUUUUCUUCUCCCUGGAAGUCAC